AAAGGCGAAAGAAUAGCUCGC
rnacentral:snRNA from 1 species